AUUGAACGCUGGCGGCAUGCCUUACACAUGCAAGUCGAACGGCAGCACGGGAGCAAUCCUGGUGGCGAGUGGCGAACGGGUGAGUAAUACAUCGGAACGUGCCCAAUCGUGGGGGAUAACGCAGCGAAAGCUGUGCUAAUACCGCAUACGAUCUACGGAUGAAAGCAGGGGACCGCAAGGCCUUGCGCGAAUGGAGCGGCCGAUGGCAGAUUAGGUAGUUGGUGGGGUAAAGGCUCACCAAGCCAACGAUCUGUAGCUGGUCUGAGAGGACGACCAGCCACACUGGGACUGGGACACGGCCCAGACUCCUACGGGAGGCAGCAGUGGGGAAUUUUGGACAAUGGGCGCAAGCCUGAUCCAGCCAUGCCGCGUGCAGGAUGAAGGCCUUCGGGUUGUAAACUGCUUUUGUACGGAACGAAACGGCCUUUUCUAAUAAAGAGGGCUAAUGACGGUACCGUAAGAAUAAGCACCGGCUAACUACGUG
rnacentral:rRNA from 1 species